UUACCAAGUGUAUUUUUUCUCAUUUCUGACUAGGGAUGUUACGAUAUGAAAAUUUAAUUUCACGGUUAUUGGGACCAAUAUUAUCACGGUUAUCAUUAUUAUCACGGUAUUAUUGAAAUGGUGCUCAAAAUGUUCAACAAGUACUUAUACACACACUGAAAUAUUUUAACCAAGUUGUAUUUAAAAAAAAAAAAAAA